rnacentral:rRNA from 1 species
UGGGGAAUAUUGGACAAUGGGCGCAAGCCUGAUCCAGCCAUGCCGCGUGAGUGAUGAAGGCCCUAGGGUUGUAAAGCUCUUUCACCGGUGAAGAUAAUGACGGUAACCGGAGAAGAAGCCCCGGCUAACCUCGCGCCAGCAGCCGCGGUAAUACGAAGGGGGCUAGCGUUGUUCGGAUUUACUGGGCGUAAAGCGCACGUAGGCGGGCUUUUAAGUCAGGGGUGAAAUCCCGGGGCUCAACCCCGGAACUGCCUUUGAUACUGGAAGUCUUGAGUAUAGUAGAGGUGGAUGGAAUUCCGAGUGUAGAGGUGAAAAUCGUAGAUAUUCGGAGGAAAACCAGUGGCGAAGGCGGCUCACUGGACCAUUACUGACGCUGAGGUGCGAAAGCGUGGGGAGCAAACAGG